rnacentral:rRNA from 1 species
GCAAGGUUAAACCGUUCCGCGGUGAAGCCGUAGCGAAAGCGAGUCUUAACUGGGCGUUAGUUGCCCGCGGUCGACCCGAAGCCUGGUGAGCUAACCAUGAGCAGGGUGAACUUCGUCGAAAGGCGAAGGGAAGCCCGAACCGGUGUCUGGUGCAAAAGGCUCGGAUGACUUGUGGUUAGGGGUAAUAUGCUAAUCGAACCAGGUGAUAGCUGGCUCUCCUCGAAAUGCAUUUAGGUGCAGCCUCAGGGAGUAGCGACGGGGGUAGAGCUACUGGAAGGGAUGCGGAGCCCGAGAGGGUAUCCCUCCCUACCAAACUCCGAAUACCGUCGUGUAAUCUCUGGGAGUGAGCAGGUGGGAGCAAGUUCCAUCGUGCUAAAGGGAAACAGCCCAGACCAUCGGCUAAGGUCCCCAAGUUGGAUUUAAGUGGGAAAGGUAGUGAAGUGACUCAGACACCCAGAAGGUCGGCUUAGAAGCAGCCAUCCUUGAAAGAGUGCGUAAUAGCUCACUGGCUAAGUCAUUUUGCGCCGAAAAUGUAACGGGGCUAAAAUCCACACCGAAGCCGUGGACCCCGCUUUUAGCGGGGUGGUAGAGGAGCGUUCCAAGCGUGUUGAAGUCACAUCGUAAGGUGUGGUGGAGUGCUUGGAAGUGAGAAUCUCAGCAUGAGUAGCGUUCUCCCGGUGAGAAUCCGGGACGCCGUAAGUCCAAGGUUUCCUCCGCAAUGUUCGUCAUCGGAGGGUUAGUCGGUCCUAAGUCGAGGCCGAAAGGCGUAGGCGAUGGACAGCCGGUUA